GAUGAACGCUGGCGGCGUGCCUAAUACAUGCCAGUCGAGCGAACGGACGAGAAGCUUGCUUCUCUGAUGUUAGCGGCGGACGGGUGAGUAACACGUGGAUAACCUACCUAUAAGACUGGGAUAACUUCGGGAAACCGGAGCUAAUACCGGAUAAUAUUUUGAACCGCAUGGUUCACAAGUGAAAGACGGUCUUGCUGUCACUUAUAGAUGGAUCCGCGCUGCAUUAGUUAGUUGGUAAGGUAACGGCUUACCAAGGCAACGAUGCAUAGCCGACCUGAGAGGGUGAUCGGCCACACUGGAACUGAGACACGGUCCAGACUCCUACGGGAGGCAGCAGUAGGGAAUCUUCCGCAAUGGGCGAAAGCCUGACGGAGCAACGCCGCGUGAGUGAUGAAGGUCUUCGGAUCGUAAAACUCUGUUAUUAGGGAAGAACAUAUGUGUAAGUAACUGUGCACAUCUUGACGGUACCUAAUCAGAAAGCCACGGCUAACUACGUG
rnacentral:rRNA from 1 species